UUAAGUGAAACAAAUUAUGUAACCACACCAACUGUCCACUUAAAUCAAUGGUAACCUAGUAGUAUUGUAUUUAUUCACAGGUGGUACCAAAACAAAGAGCAAUGGAAUCAGUGUGCCACGUGUUGAUGUGGUGUCAAAUGGAAUUCAGAGUGACACAUUGAAACUCAUCCAAGAGAAUAAGGAUACAUUCAAGCAAUGGAUUGGAGCAAAUCCAUCGCACCUGAUAAAAUAUUUCAAAGAAUCACAUUCUAUUCCACACGAAGUUUGCCAAGCAGCCAAGAACAAGCAUGGAGAGGAGUGUGUGGAUGUUAUACUAGAUCACUUCUUUAACCAAGAAGAGACGGCGUUGUGGGAACUGUGGAAAGGUCUCUAUUAUGUGAGGAGGAACUACGAGCCACUAAAGAGCUGGUUUCAGAAGCACGGUGAGUCCGUGCGGUCCAUUAAAGAGAAGAAGUUGGAUCUGAAGUUGUGGAUCGGUAGAGACUUCCAACAUCUGCGAUCACAGCUGACGC